AAAAGAAAAAUGUUCGCAAGUUUUUGGAAAAGCAAGACUAUUUUUGAAAUAAUAAGUGCGUUGUAACUUUACAAAUUAAAAGGGAUGAGUGAUUGUUUCCUUAGUCUUAUUUGGUUGUCGGACUGUUAACUUUUAGAAAGUUCAUGGAUGCCCAAAAACUUUCGCGUUAAUGUAAGGUGUCAUUAACGAACCUUAUAAAGGGCUAACCUUAAUAUGUACUGCCUUUGGACAAUAUUAUGAAGUUGAACAACCAGAUGGUUCAUAUAAAAUCGGUCAAGAAAGUAAUUCCGUUGGUACUGUGGGAGAUACCGUAGCUUCGUAUUUGAGGAAGGACUCAGGAUGGACGGAAGAAACUAGAUCGAGGAAUGAGAUUGGCGCUGGCAUUAGUCUACAGGUGCCUCAGGUUCCCUAUAUAGAAAUUCUUAAACUUGUCGAGGCAUUUCUCAGAUUGAAAGGUGACCUAGGAGGAAAAUUAAAUGCCUUAAUUCAGGAUAACAGACACAUUAUCAGUGCCGUGUUCGACACAUUGGUUCGCAACAUUUCGUCUAUCCACAAACUCACGUUGACCAGUAUUGUCGUGUUGAGAAAGAUUAUAGAAUUCGCAGGAAGCUUGUUGAGUAACGUCAAUUUUGAUGUAAAUGCUGGCCCUGGAGGGAUUAAUUUUAGUUCCUUUUUCGGAAGAAGAUAGAUGAGACUAUCAGCAAUACCUAGUAUAUAACUAAAACUCAGUGACGGGUUUUUGUCAUUCGCUUUU